rnacentral:rRNA from 1 species
UACGGAGGGUGCAAGCGUUAUCCGGAUUCACUGGGUUUAAAGGGUGCGUAGGCGGAUAUGUAAGUCCGUGGUGAAAUCUCUGGGCUUAACCCGGAAACUGCCAUGGAUACUAUGUGUCUUGAAUGUUGUUGAGGUGAGCGGAAUAUGUCAUGUAGCGGUGAAAUGCUUAGAUAUGACAUAGAACACCAAUUGCGAAGGCAGCUCACUAAGCAAAUAUUGACGCUGAGGCAACGAAAGCGUGGGGAUCAAACAGGA